rnacentral:rRNA from 1 species
AUUGAACGCUGGCGGCAGGCCUAACACAUGCAAGUCGAACGAGUGGCGGACGGGUGAGUAAUGUCUGGGAAACUGCCUGAUGGAGGGGGAUAACUACUGGAAACGGUAGCUAAUACCGCAUACCAUCGGAUGAGCCCAGAUGGGAUUAGCUAGUAGGUGGGGUAAAGGCUCACCUAGGCGACGAUCCCUAGCUGGUCUGAGAGGAUGACCAGCCACACUGUAACUGAGACACGGUCCAGACUCCUACGGGAGGCAGCAGUGGGGAAUAUUGCACAAUGGGCGCAAGCCUGAUGCAGCCAUGCCGCGUGUAUGAAGAAGGCCUUCGGGUUGUAAAGUACUUGCAGCGGUGAGGCGUUACCCGCAGAAGAAGCACCGGCGAACUACGUGCCAGCAGCCGCGGUAAUAC